rnacentral:rRNA from 1 species
GGGGGGGGGGGGGGGGGGGGGGGGGGGGGGGGGGGCGGGGGGGGGGGCGGGGGGCGGCGUGGCGGCGGGGGGGGGGCGGGGGAGGGAGGCAGCGGAACGUGCCCAGGAGGGGGGGAUAGCCCGGCGAAAGCCGGAGUAAUACCGCAUACGACCUGAGGGUGAAAGCGGGGGACCGAAAGGCCUCGCGCUAUUGGAGCGGCCGAUGUCGGAUUAGCUAGUUGGUGGGGUAAAGGCUUACCAAGGCGACGAUCCGUAGCUGGUCUGAGAGGACGACCAGCCACACUGGGACUGAGACACGGCCCAGACUCCUACGGGAGGCAGCAGUGGGGAAUUUUGGACAAUGGGGGCAACCCUGAUCCAGCCAUGCCGCGUGCGGGAAGAAGGCCUUCGGGUUGUAAACCGCUUUUGUUCGGGAAGAAAUCCUCUGGGCUAAUACCCCGGGGGGAUGACGGUACCGGAAGAAUAAGCACCGGCUAACUACGUG